rnacentral:misc_RNA from 1 species
GAUGAAGAACGCAGUGAAAUACGAUAAUUAAUGUGAAUUGCAGAAUUCCGUGAAUCAUCGAGUCUUUGAACGCACAUUGCGCCUCAUAGCAUUCCGUGAGGCAUGCCCAUCUCAGCGUUAGAAAAUAUUCUCAAAUUUUAGUUUUGUGCUAAAAUUUGGAUCAUGUCAAGGAAGCUAUUACUAUUAUUGUGAUCGCUCUUUGGAAAUUGAUAGGUCUUUGAGUUGCUACUCAUAGAACGUGAUGAAUCUUUCUUCGUUCUAUUGUAGUUCACUCUGGUAGUCCUAAAACUUGUAUGCCUGUGGCAUAUCUUGUAAUUUGACCUGAGAUUGGGUAGGGAUACCCACUGAACUUAAGCAUAUCAAUAAGCGGAGGA